GUAAAUAACAUCAUAGACAUUUCUAUGUACGGAUGAAUCCGUUACAAUAUGACCCUCCUACAAAAGUGAACCUCCACCUAUUUCUGUCAACGAGAGUCCCCAGUUUAUCUUUUACCUUUUCUUAAUUGACUUUUCAUCUCUGAUAUAAUUUAGAUAUGAUACGCAAUUCUUUUUCCCAUUUAUCCCAUAAACCGGAAGUCUUGUUUGGGCAUUUAGAAUAAC